UACAGAGGGUGCGAGCGUUAAUCGGAAUUACUGGGCGUAAAGCGUGCGUAGGCGGUUUGUUAAGUCCGUUGUGAAAGCCCUGGGCUCAACCUGGGAAUUGCAGUGGAUACUGGCGAGCUAGAGUGCGGUAGAGGAUGGUGGAAUUCCCGGUGUAGCGGUGAAAUGCGUAGAGAUCGGGAGGAACACCCGUGGCGAAGGCGGCCAUCUGGACCAGCACUGACGCUGAGGCACGAAAGCGUGGGGAGCAAACAGG
rnacentral:rRNA from 1 species